UGCCGGCAUGGCUGCUUGGCCAGCCCUCAGGGUGUUAGGGAGGAAGACAGCAGAAACCCAGGGACAGCCAUGGUGGGGACGGAGCAAUCUAACCCCCGAGGCGCGGGGAGCAGAUGAAGGAAAGGAUGCUCUGGGAGGCACACCAGAGCAGAGGCGAGCUCCCACCAGUUUCUAUGUGAGGAUGCACAUUUGGCCUCCAGAAGCGCCUGAGUAUCUGCCCCGGCAGCCCGACUGGAAUGUCAGCCCUUCACACGUAGAAGGAUAAUGAACAUAUUCUGGAAUUACACAGUGGCUAUGGUUGUACAACUUUUUUUGCGAUGACCUCAAUAAAGAUCACCUAUCAACCACUGUAUCUGAAAAUGAGACAUCUGUAUAUUCACCAUGUGCUCUGGUCACCUAAGACUUUUGUGUAAAAUUAGUGAUAUUUCCAUCUUGAGAGUUAGCUUCAAUUUGCUCUCCUAUUAAAUGCUAUUGUAACAUGUAACAUCUAAAAUAUAACAUAGAGCUGGAUGUGUAUUAAGUGCU